UACGUAGGGAGCAAGCGUUGUCCGGAAUCAUUGGGCGUAAAGCGCGCGUAGGUGGCCUCAUAAGUCCGCUGUGAAAGUCAAAGGCUCAACCUUUGAAAGCCGGUGGAUACUGUGGGGCUAGAGUACGGAAGAGGCGAGUGGAAUUCCUGGUGUAGCGGUGGAAUGCGCAGAUAUCAGGAGGAACACCAAUAGCGAAGGCAGCUCGCUGGGACGUUACUGACACUGAGGCACGAAAGCGUGGGGAUCGAACAGG
rnacentral:rRNA from 1 species